rnacentral:rRNA from 1 species
GCCUAUGGCCAUGCCACCUUGAACAUACCCGAUCCUGUCUGAUUUCAGAAGCUAAGCAGGGUGGGGCCUGGUUAGUCCUUCGAUGGGAGACCACCUAGGAAGACUGGAUGCUGUAGGUG